UAUGGAACACCUAUCCUAACAGGAACAUGUCACAGGUUUAGGCCUAGGUUACAUAUGGAACACCUAUCCUAACAGGAACAUGUCACAGGUUUAGGCCUAGGUUACAUAUGGAACACCUAUCCUAACAGGAACAUGUCACAGGUUUAGGCCUAGGUUACAUAUGGAACACCUAUCCUAACAGGAACAUGUCACAGGUUUAGGCCUAGGUUACAUAUGGAACACCUAUCCUAACAGGAACAUGUCACAGGUUUAGGCCUAGGUUACAUAUGGAACACCUAUCCUAACAGGAACAUGUCACAGGUUUAGGCCUAGGUUACAUAUGGAACACCUAUCCUAACAGGAACAUGUCACAGGUUUAGGCCUAGGUUACAUAUGGAACACCUAUCCUAACAGGAACAUGUCACAGGUUUAGGCCUAGGUUACAUAUGGAACACCUAUCCUAACAGGAA